rnacentral:rRNA from 1 species
AGCAGUCGCCGCGGUAAUACGUAGGGUGCGAGCGUUAAUCGGAAUUACUGGGCGUAAAGCGUGCGCAGGCGGUUAUAUAAGACAGAUGUGAAAUCCCCGGGCUCAACCUGGGACCUGCAUUUGUGACUGUAUAGCUAGAGUACGGUAGAGGGGGAUGGAAUUCCGCGUGUAGCAGUGAAAUGCGUAGAUAUGCGGAGGAACACCGAUGGCGAAGGCAAUCCCCUGGACCUGUACUGACGCUCAUGCACGAAAGCGUGGGGAGCAAACAGAAUUAGAUACCCCUGUAGUCCCUGUCUCUUAUAC